UACAGAGGGGCAAGCGUUAUUCGGAAUUAUUGGGCGUAAAGGGCGCGUAGGCGGCUUUGCAAGUGGCGGGUGAAAUCCCUCGGCUUAACCGAGGAACUGCCUGCCAGACUGUGAGGCUUGAGACCGGGAGAGGUGAGUGGAAUUCCCAGUGUAGCGGUGAAAUGCGUAGAUAUUGGGAGGAACACCAGUGGCGAAGGCGGCUCACUGGACCGGAACUGACGCUGAGGCGCGAAAGCGUGGGAGCAACAGG
rnacentral:rRNA from 1 species